rnacentral:rRNA from 1 species
UACGUAGGGUGCAAGCGUUAAUCGGAAUUACUGGGCGUAAAGCGUGCGCAGGCGGCUUUGCAAGUCAGAUGUGAAAUCCCCGGGCUCAACCUGGGAACUGCAUUUGUGACUGCAGCGCUGGAGUGCGGCAGAGGGGGAUGGAAUUCCGCGUGUAGCAGUGAAAUGCGUAGAUAUGCGGAGGAACACCGGUGGCGAAGGCAAUCCCCUGGGCCUGCACUGACGCUCAUGCACGAAAGCGUGGGGAGCAAACAGG